CAAUGUCUCCUGUUUGCUACAAUAUUGCUGGCUGUGCAAAUGUCACCUGGGCCCAUUGUCAUUUUUUCCCCAUCUCUUGCUGUGGGACUUGGGGGCAAAGGGAAGCCGUGGAAAUAUGCUGAUGUUCCUUUCGCUUUCCGCUCUGCAUACAGCUGGUACUGUGUAAAUGAUUGAUGCGAGGAGGAGAAAUGGUUGACCAGCAGAGGGAUGCAGGGUGGACAAGACACAGCCUCUGCUGCCCAGGCCAGAGGCCGAGAUGUCUGCCCUGACUGUCUGAGCCACACCCCUGAGCCUGAGGGCCCGCUUCUCUGCUGGGACCCCUGCAACCACUGCCCCGGGUGUGCACAUCGGGCCCCAGGGGUUGGGGUGGGGUGAGGCCUGUGAAGGGAAGGCCUGAGGAGGCGGGAGCCAAAGUUCUCCACACACCCAGGCUCCCAGCCAGCUCCUCUCCUGGGAGGGGCCCUGGAACCAGGCUGGGAACACGGAGGAGAGGGGACACCCGGCCACACCAGGCGGUGAUCAAGCUGUCUGAGCGGACUGGGGAUUUGCUAUGGACUGAGUUGUGUCCCCCCAAAUCUGUUUGUCAAAGCCCUAAUCACCAAGGUGAUGGCAUUUGGAAGUGAGGCCUUUUGAGUUAAUUAGGGUUGAUGAGGUCAUGAGGAUGGGGCCCCCAUGAUGGGAUUAGUGCCCUCCUAGAAGAGGAGGACACCAGAGCUCACACUCUCUCCUCCACAUGAUGACACAGUGAGAAGGCAGCCGUCUGCAAACCAGAAACAGAGCCCUCACCAGAACCGACAGCCGUGCCUCCUCCCUGAUCUUGGACUUCCAGCCUCCAGAACAGUGAGAAAUAAAUGGCUGUGGCUUCUGUUACAGCAGCCCGAGCUGACCAAACAGGUUUCUGCUGGCUUACUUCUGUCUCCAGCCAGGACGCUCUGAGCGAGUGCUCAGGGAGGACAUAGCCACAACCCAGCACAGACAGAAAAAGCUGUCUGAGAGAGGAGGGAGCAGCAGAGGGAGCCUCAUGGGCAGAUGAGGCCACAGAGCCACGGCAUGAAACUGUGGCCCUCCCACGGGAGCCGCGGUGCAGAGGAGCAGCCGGGCAGCAGGCAUUUGCUUUCACGAUUGGGAGUCCCCACAGAGGCCGGGAGGGAAGGCAGAGUUCACUCCAUUUCAUCCACCAGCACCAAGGCCCAGGGCUCAGGCAGCCUCGUCAGUCCACCCAGUUUGAAAAUGCACGUUUCUCAAUCCCUGGGUGCUGC
rnacentral:lncRNA from 1 species